CCUGCUCCUAGAGAUGUUGCAGAUGUGGCUGCUGUGUCGCAUGUGUGUCAGUAGGUGACAGAAAGGAGAGAGGCUAUGUAUAAGUCCAGUGUUCUGACAGCAUCUGAAUGAUUAAGUAGCCUACCAUU